rnacentral:rRNA from 1 species
UCCGUAGGCGGUGCGGCAAGUCGGAAGUGAAAUCUCUGGGCUUAACCCAGAGGCUGCCUCCGAAACUGCCGUGCUAGAGUGCGAGAGAGGCGAGUGGAAUUGCGGGUGUAGCGGUGAAAUGCGUAGAUAUCCGCAGGAACAUCCGAGGCGAAAGCGGCUCGCUGGAUCGCAACUGACGCUGAGGGACGAAAGCUAGGGGAGCAAACAGGAUUAGAUACCCUGGUAGUCCUAGCCCUAAACCAUCAGGACUUGGGGUUUGCCCUGUACGGGGCAAGUCCCGUAGCUAACGCGUUAAGUCCUGCGCCUGGGGAGUACGGUCGCAAGGCUGAA